AUCUGGAAGUGAUGGUGGCAAGCACUUAGGUAAGACACAAAGACCCUGGACCUUUCCCAUGUGCCAGGCUCCCACCCCAGGGCCGGAACAUCACAUAAA